rnacentral:rRNA from 1 species
GACGAACGCUGGCGGCGUGCUUAACACAUGCAAGUCGAACGGUAAGGCCCUUCGGGGUACACGAGUGGCGAACGGGUGAGUAACACGUGGGUGAUCUGCCCUGCACUUCGGGAUAAGCCUGGGAAACUGGGUCUAAUACCGGAUAGGACCACUGCCUGCAUGGGUGGUGGUGGAAAGCUUUUGCGGUGUGGGAUGGGCCCGCGGCCUAUCAGCUUGUUGGUGGGGUGUUGGCCUACCAAGGGGACGACGGGUAGCCGGCCUGAGAGGGGUACCGGCCACACUGGGAGUGAGAUACGGCCCAGACUCCUACGGGAGGCAGCAGUGGGGAAUAUUGCACAAUGGGCGCAAGCCUGAUGCAGCGACGCCGCGUGAGGGAUGACGGCCUUCGGGUUGUAAACCUCUUUCAGCACCGACGAAGCGCAAGUGACGGUAGGUGCAGAAGAAGGACCGGCCAACUACGUGCCAGCCGCCGCCGUAA